UACGUAGGGUCCGAGCGUUGUCCGGAAUUACUGGGCGUAAAGAGCUCGUAGGCGGUUUGUCGCGUCGAAUGUGAAAACCCGGGGCUCAACCCCGGGCCUGCAUUCGAUACGGGCAGACUAGAGUUCGGUAGGGGGAGUCUGGAAUUCCUGGUGUAGCGGUGAAAUGCGCAGAUAUCAGGAGGAACACCAACGGCGAAGGCAGCUCUCUGGGACGUUACUGACGCUGAGACGCGAAAGCGUGGGGAGCAAACAGG
rnacentral:rRNA from 1 species